CUGCCGUGCGUUCUGGUCUCUCUGCUUGCACAUGGCGGCGCCGCACGGUGGACAAUCCUAACCAAACUUCGGCUCCACAUCUUUUGUGUGUCUUAUCGGCGGUCUGUGGGCACCGUUCGCGGCACGCAAAUACUUGUGCGCACCCCUGCCUUGCAGCGGAGAUGUGGCAUGUGCAGACGUGAAGUCACGUAAGGUGUCUUCUUGAAGCUCCACUAUCCCAUUUAACGCAACGCGGCAUCCUUCAUAGAGUCAAAGGGAAGGCGAGGCUCCUCCUUCGACGACACCAGCUGCUCCUUUUAUUCCUCCACAGGUGCCGCUGGUGGUGUAUUACCGACAUAGAAACAGCAGGGACGCGCUGACGCUGCAGUGUUCUCUGCUUCCCUCUCUGUCUCAACCACACGGCCUCCGGCACAUGGCGGAUGCAGCGGGCACACUUCUCCUGUCGCUUGAGGUGGAGGCGGCAGCUGCCCGCAACGCCGAGUUGAGUCAAACGAUUGAAAUGCUGCAGGACGAGGUACUGCGACUCCGGCGCGCGAACGCGUCGCUCCUCGCUUGCGAUGCACGACAUUGUCCGAAAGUUUCUCGGCAACCGGCGGAGAAGCCUAGCGCGACGGCAGGCGAGUGCCGCGACGAGUCGUCUGCGGCUGCAGAUGCCCGAGAGGCGUUUGUCAUCCUGGACGACUUGCUUUUCGAAAUGGCUGAUAUUCGAUCCCGUAUUAUCCCGGACGAGCGCGUGGACUUGAGGCCACGGGCCUUUGACGCAGAAACCACGGUGGCCGCCCACGCCACGCGGUGCCUCGAGGAAGCACGCAAGUUGAAAGAAGCCCUCGUCGUUAAGCAGCAUAGUGUGGCGGUGCAGGUGUCAGAGCUUCGGCGCGCUCUCGGCGAGCAGGCCGAGGCCAACCAGAAGCAAACUGCGGCCGCUGCUUUGCAGUGCACCAUGCUGGAGCGCAAGUAUGCUGAGAUGAAGCGCAGGUACGACGAGGCAGUUUCGAGGCAAGAUGAGCUGCUGCUGAACCGUGUCAUUCAGUCCCCCACACAACCGUCGCCGCGCAGUUGACUGUCGUGCAGCUGUGGGGCCGUGAACACAGCAGUUUUUCUCGGCCGCCGUUGGCAAGUUGCGGGGCAUAAGCGAAAGGAGAGGUGGUGAAUAUGAAGCUCUUGCACGUGUGGAGUGACUGUUUUCAGUUCCCGCGUGUAUCGCUGCUGCGCGGGUGAGCGCCUUUGCGUGCGUGGUUGUCACGGCAUAGGCCGCUAAUUCACUGUUUGAUGUCCAACUGCGAGCAGCACGAGGAGUCCGUGUUGAUGAAUGCCAUUCCUUUCGCGAGUCUUUCGGGGUGGAGGGGGGGGGUGCCGUCACAAGGUGCGAGGAGGGGCUUUGUGGAUCUUGUCCCGGCAACAUCGAGGACAGAUUCGUGGGGGAGGGGGAGGGGCACUUCACGAGCGACUCUCGCUGCUCCUCCGGCCUGAUGGAUGCCACUCGUUAUGAUGCAAGGUGUCUCGAGUGACAUCGCCCCUCGGGACGCGUAUUGUUUUCUGUGUAGCCCGUUCCCCCCCCCCCCCCCCCCCGGGAGACGCUGGUGGCAAUAGCGGAUAGGCAUCAUGGAGGUGUUGAUGUCAUCACCUCAGCCCUGCAGCAUGAAGCACCCUCGCAGCUCCUUGGCUUUUCUGUGCAGCCCCUCCUUCCCUAGUCGUCGUACCCCUCCCCCUGUUUAUGCCUCUCACUGUGCGUCAUUUCUUUUGACCUUGUUGCUCCAUAUACUCCCCCCCCCUCCGAGUUGGUUCACCCUCCCUCGACAG
rnacentral:misc_RNA from 1 species